CCUAUAAAAAGUUAUGUUCAUUAUAUUUCGCAUUUCUCCCACCCAGUCCAGAGUCCAGACGUCAACUGGAGUGGGAAAGAAAAAUAGCAAGAAAAAGAUUAAAAACCCCCCUGACACAGAUUGACCCUGAAAUUCUGAUACAAUUUUCUAAUGGUGGUUUACCGAUCGCUCUCAAUCGGAAUUAUCGUCUGCGUCUUCCAUGACCGUUCACGGUUCACCCAUAAUCGGUGAAGGCUCAGGUAAAGCAAAAUAGUUGAGAAAGUGACUAUUGCUUGGAGCUCAUUUCUUCAUCUAACUAGUAUUUCAUCCGACGAGGCGACGACAUCCUAGAACAUAAUGUUGUAUACGAAAGACGGAAAGAGGAAACUACUGGUAUCUUAUUGCACAAGCUUAUUACUUUUUACUAUUUGCAAUGCGCCUCUUUUUUUUGCUAGUAUCUAUUCAUUUUGCAAUAAGUUUUCCUUUAAAGGUUUAGCAACCAGCCAUUGCCAACCACCAAAGUGGGUUAUUUAUAGUAAUAAGUUGUAUCCCCACGAAAUUAAGAAGACCAAUUUAUGGAGAUGAUAUCAUUAGUAUGAUGGUGUGAUACGAUAUUCUAUUAGUGGGAAUGUCGUAUUGAAGUUUCAUAUCACAGGUUGUUCACUUCACUGUUUUGUACCAAUAUUAGUAUAUAGUAGUAUUAUAGUACAAUUUAUAUACGUCAUUGUAGUAUGCAGCAAGAGAUAUAAUAUAGUAAAAUGAUCAGAAAUUUGCUAAUUUUAUUCUUAAUUGUUUUUUUAGGGUUUUUUGUGUGGGAAAUGACCAACUUAAAUAGGGUUUUUGUGGGGGAGACACCACUUAAAUUUUUCUUUAUAGGGAAGGACUAAUUAAAAUACUUCCGUUGGCAACUUAACACCGCAUUACGAUUUUCCGGCCAAAUUGUCAACUUUCUGACGCUGACGUAUUUUUACGUCCAAACAUUGAUUUUUUUUUUGUUUCUCCUCCUCCCCCACCCCUACGCCCUACCCACCGGAAUCCUCCUCCCCACCCUUACGUCUUACCCACCGGAAUCCUCCUCCCCACCCCUACGGCAUGCACAACGGAGACCCCACCAAAAUCCUCCUCCCCCACCCUUACGCCCUACGCCUUACCACCGAAAACCCCACUGGAAUGCUCCUCCCCUGCACCCUACCAUAGGUGAACCACGAGAGCAGUGACCCACGAGGAGAGAGAGAGAGGGGCAACCAGCGCAAAAGGGGUUGCAGGAUUUGGGAUUGGAAGGUGAAGAAGGAUGAAGUUAGGAAAUUGAGAGAGAAGGAGCGUGAGAGGAUUUCGGGGUAGGGGACUAAGGGGAGUUUUCCGGUGGAUAGGGCAUAGGGGUGGGGGAGGAGGAGAAACAAAAAAAAAAACUUGGUUUUGGAGGAAAAUAAAUUGUCAAUGCCGGGAAGUUGACAAUUUGGCCGAAAAUUGUAAUGUGGUGUUAAGUUGCCAACAAGAUUAUUUUAAUUGGCCCUUCCGUCCAAAAAAAAUUUAAGUGGUGUUUCCCCACAAACUAUUUGAAUUGGUCCUUCUUCACAAAAAAAUCUUUUUUUUUAUACCGGUUUUUAAUUGUUUUUAAACAACUUUAAAAUAUAAUUAAGAUUCCGGAUUUCUUGGUUUCAAAAUGAUUAGCGGCUCGUUUGGUAGUCGUUAAUAAAUUGCGGUAAUGGGAAUGAAUUUUAAGUGUAAUUUUAUUAAGGAAGCACCUUUAAAAUGUCCACGGGGAGGCAUUUUUUCUCCAUAGGCAAGCAAUCUCACCUCUAAACUUGUGUUUUUGUCUCCAAGGGGAAGCAAUUUUCAUUACCACUCAUUACCACCUACAAGGUGGUAUUGGAUGGGAGUGAAAAUUCAAGAAGGAAAUUGGAGACUUUAGGAUAAAUUAGCAUUACCAUGGGAAUGGACAAUGAUAUUUUUCACAAAUUUCAACACAAAUUCGUUCCCAUUACCAUCAUUUAUGACCAACUACCAAAGAGGCCCCUAUGCAUAUGAUUUGGACUUGAUGAACUAUGAUAAAUACAAACCAACUUUGAAAAGAUAUUUAGUGAUUGUACUGAAAUGUUUGGUUUCAAAUGAAUGUGAAUCAUAUUCUUGUAAUUCCUUUCACAGAAUUAAUGCCUGGUACUGGUACAUCUAUACGAUAUUUCCAUUUCAAAUAGUUCUCAAUAAUACUAUUAUCUCGUAAAUCAUAUGCACCCUGUCUUUUAAUGUCUGAGACUGGAAGGGAUAACGCUGCUAAUUAUACUAUAUUGCGUGGUUGUGACUUGUGAGGCGGAUCAAUUAUGUAAUGGCACCAAAGCUGUUGCUCUCAGAAUUGAUAAAAACAUCCAAAAUUGUUCAAUAGAUAAGAUUACUUGACUUGGGUGUAUCAUUUUUCAUUUUCUAAUUGAAUUGAUAAAAAUUAAUUGAUUGUCGAUUUCAAUUCCAAAUUUCAAUAAUCAAGCCCAAACUAAUUAAUGAACAAUAUCAACAUUCAACAAUUUACAUUUAGAUAUUCAAUUAAUCCAAGAAUUUAAUAUAUUUAAACUUAUAAAGUAGGAAAAUAUGAAAUUGAAAAACAAAAAUAAAAACCCUAACACAAAACCUACGAGUGUGAGUCGACAACUCGACUGAACGGAACUGGGGGGCGCCUCCUAACCGUCGGACUGUCGGUCUGCUUGUUGGCGGUCGGCAAUGAAGUGCCAUUAGUUGUGUGUUUCAGAAUUCAAAGAGAGAGAGAAAGUUUGCUGGGUAGAAGAUACGAGCUAAAUUGGGGGACAGGGGUGGGGAUGAAAGAGAAAGCAGCGCGACUGUACUAGACCGGAUUAUGUAAACUCGACACGUCUAUGGAUCUUCUCGGACGAGUCUAUCGGACUGGUCUCUGCUGGCCGAAGGUAACUAGGUAAGCCUAUGUAUUUAUAGUGGUUUCAAUUCAGUUAACCAGUUCAGUUAUGGUUGAAACCAAAUAGUUCAGUUGACUUUCGUUCCGUUAAUUCAGUUCGUUUUCCGAGCUUAAUUUAUUCAGUUUAAAAUUUUUCAGUUUCAAUCCAUACAAUUAAUUCAAUUUUCAGUUCAGUUUACAGUUGUCUUUUGGUUUGACUCGUACAAUUUUGGUUUAAACAAUUGAUUUUUUUACCUAAUACAAUCAGUUAAACAGUGAUUUUCAGUUCGUCUUCAGUUAAUUUCAGUUUCUUAAAAAACUGCAUCAACUCGGGUGGAAUUUGAUAUCGGUUAUGUCAUAUACAUCUUUUUCUCUCUUCAUCUUUCGGGUCAAAGGCUUACCCGUUACAUAAAAUUGUAACUCGGUUGGACUUUUGUUAUAUCAUUUAAACUUGUCGGAACAAUCGAUACUAUCAAGAUUCAAGAGACAUGUCUAUAUUUGUCUACAAAAGCGCAUUUGAAAGUUGCUAAGUUUACUGUAAAUUUGUUUUAUCAAAGGUUCGAUUGUACAUUUGGUUGAUAUUCAAAAUUUCAAUUUCGAAUUCUUCAUUAUGGAAUGUCUAGUCAUUGUUCGUUUAUAUGUUGAUUAUAAUUACGUUAGUGAUACUAAAUGUAAUUAUGUAUGAUAACUUUGUAAUGUUACUACAUAACGUUAUGUUUUCUAUAUAUAGUUUUCCAAUGUGUACA